GAGGGUAGAGCUCAGUGGUAGAGUGCAUGCUUAGCAUGCAUGAGGUCCUAGGUUCAAUCCCCAGUACCCCA
rnacentral:tRNA from 1 species